AGAGUGAACAAGCAAUAUUACAGAUAGCCAGGCAGCUCAUGGUGGCAAUGAGGUUGCAAGUCUUCAUUCUCCUCCUCGACCUGCUGGCCUCGAUCACAACAGCACCUUCUAAGAAAUUCCAUCACGGGCACAUUGUGAUUUCUCCUGAUGGUAAAUACUUUCGUGCAGAGGCUUUUUUUGCAUGAUUAUAUGGAAACAGAAUGGAGCUGUUCACAAGACCUCACCACAAGUC